CCUUCGAGAGCUUUUAUACAGGUGCUGCACGGCUGUCGUCAGCUCGUGUCGUGAGAUGUUGGGUUAAGUCCCGCAACGAGCGCAACCCUCGUCACUAGUUACUAACGGUUCGGCCGAGGACUCUAGUGAGACUGCCUUCGUAAGGAGGAGGAAGGUGAGGACGACGUCAAGUCAUCAUGGCCCUUACGGCUAGGGCAACACACGUGCUACAAUGGCCAGGACAAUGAGACGCGAUACCGCGAGGUGGAGCAAAUCUAUAAACCUGGUCUCAGUUCGGAUUGUAGUCUGCAACUCGACUACAUGAAGCUGGAAUCACUAGUAAUCGUAGAUCAGCUAUGCUACGGUGAAUACGUUCCCGGGUCUUGUACUCGCCGCCCGUCACACCAUGGGAGUUGAUUUCACCCGAAGCGGGGAAGCUAAACUGGCUACCCUCCACGGUGGAAUCAGCGACUGGGGUGAAGUCGUAACAAGGUA
rnacentral:rRNA from 1 species